GGACUACUGGGGUAUCUAAUCCCGUUUGCUCCCCUAGCUUUCGAGCCUCAGCGUCAGAAGAGAUCCAGCACGCCGCUUUCGCCACCGGAGUUCCUGUAGAUAUCAACGCAUUUCACCGCUCCACCUACAGUUCCGCAUGCCCCUAUCUCCCUCGAGGCCGACAGUAUCUAAGGCAGUUCCACGGUUGAGCCGCGGCAUUUCACCCCAGACUUGUUAGCCCGCCUACGCUCCCUUUAAGCCCAGUGAUUCCGAACAACGUUCGCACGGUUCGUCUUACCGCGGCUGCUGGCAC
rnacentral:rRNA from 1 species